rnacentral:rRNA from 1 species
AGACCCGAAACCCGGUGAUCUAGCCAUGGGCAGGUUGAAGGUUGGGUAACACUAACUGGAGGACCGAACCGACUAAUGUUGAAAAAUUAGCGGAUGACCUGUGGCUGGGGGUGAAAGGCCAAUCAAACCGGGAGAUAGCUGGUUCUCCCCGAAAGCUAUUUAGGUAGCGCCUCGUGAAUUCAUCUCCGGGGGUAGAGCACUGUUUCGGCUAGGGGGCCAUCCCGGCUUACCAACCCGAUGCAAACUGCGAAUACCGGAGAAUGUUAUCACGGGAGACACACGGCGGGUGCUAACGUCCGUCGUGAAGAGGGAAACAACCCAGACCGCCAGCUAAGGUCCCAAAGUCAUGGUUAAGUGGGAAACGAUGUGGGAAGGCCCAGACAGCCAGGAUGUUGGCUUAGAAGCAGCCAUCAUUUAAAGAAAGCGUAAUAGCUCACUGGUCGAGUCGGCCUGCGCGGAAGAUGUAACGGGGCUAAACCAUGCACCGAAGCUGCGGCAGCGAACGUAUCACUUAAAGCGAUUCAGCGGGUUACGAUUGACGGAGCGAAGCGACGUCAAAGCGUAUACAAAGUCGAGUCGGUUUAAGGAUACGUUCGUUGGGUAGGGGAGCGUUCUGUAAGCCUGCGAAGGUGGCCUGUGAGGGUUGCUGGAGGUAUCAGAAGUGCGAAUGCUGACAUAAGUAACGAUAAAGCGGGUGAAAAGCCCGCUCGCCGGAAGACCAAGGGUUCCUGUCCAACGUUAAUCGGGGCAGGGUGAGUCGACCCCUAAGGCGAGGCCGAAAGGCGUAGUCGAUGGGAAACGGGUUAAUAUUCCCGUACUUGGUGUUACUGCGAAGGGGGGACGGAGAAGGCUAUGUUGGCCGGGCGACGGUUGUCCCGGUUUAAGCGUGUAGGCUGGUUUUCCAGGCAAAUCCGGAAAAUCAAGGCUGAGGCGUGACGACGAGGCACUACGGUG